rnacentral:rRNA from 1 species
GAUGAACGCUGGCGGCGUGCCUAAUACAUGCAAGUCGAGCGAACAGAUGAGGAGCUUGCUCCUCUGACGUUAGCGGCGGACGGGUGAGUAACACGUGGAUAACCUACCUAUAAGACUGGGAUAACUUCGGGAAACCGGAGCUAAUACCGGAUAAUAUAUUGAACCGCAUGGUUCAAUAGUGAACGACGGUUUUGCUGUCACUUAUAGAUGGAUCCGCGCCGCAUUAGCUAGUUGGUAAGGUAACGGCUUACCAAGGCGACGAUGCGUAGCCGACCUGAGAGGGUGAUCGGCCACACUGGAACUGAGACACGGUCCAGACUCCUACGGGAGGCAGCAGUAGGGAAUCUUCCGCAAUGGGCGAAAGCCUGACGGAGCAACGCCGCGUGAGUGAUGAAGGUCUUCGGAUCGUAAAACUCUGUUAUUAGGGAAGAACAAAUGUGUAAGUAACUAUGCACGUCUUGACGGUACCUAAUCAGAAAGCCACGGCUAACUACGUG